UACGUAGGGGGCAAGCGUUGUCCGGAAUCAUUGGGCGUAAAGAGCGUGUAGGCGGUCCGGUAAGUCCGCUGUGAAAGUCGGGGGCUCAACCCUCGAAUGCCGGUGGAUACUGUCGGGCUAGAGUGCGGAAGAGGCGAGUGGAAUUCCUGGUGUAGCGGUGAAAUGCGCAGAUAUCAGGAGGAACACCUAUUGCGAAGGCAGCUCGCUG
rnacentral:rRNA from 1 species